UUGUUAUUAACGUGAUGACGACAGCCGCCCCUAUCACCCCCCACAGCACCUUGCUGCAGCCCUGUGAAAGGUGACACAAAAAUUGCAAAAACAUCCUCUUCUUGAAGUCAAACACUGGCUGACGCUGCAGGUUCUCGUUUUGUAGUAAAUGUAUCCAAAACAGUGAGCUGCAAAUUGUCCACACCACCCCAGAGUUCUUCACCUCGACCAGAGUGUAACUACUGUCCUCAGCUCUUCCUCUGCCUUGUGCCUGCAAAAGACCUCUCCAAGAAAUUCUCAAGAAUCUGGGCUGUGCAAAUGAUGACGUCGUUGUUCUUCACGAUCUCUGUGAAAGAGAUUUUGAGCUGGCAGUCUCCGCUGACUCUCUCCACUUUAUAUGAAGGCUUCAAAAACGGCAAGAACUCUGCGGAAUAAUGCUGCUCAACAAGAGGAACCUGCAGGACACCAGAGCACAUUUAGUUUUAUGCUGUCGAUGCAACAAAGUCAAAAAAUUUCACAAAUAGAAAUAACUCUCAACAAAAGAAAUGAAGAAAUAGCUGCAUUGUUUAUAUUCCUACAAAGCUCCUGAUGAUGUGAGAGUGUGUUUGUUUAUGAUCACAAUAAAUGCUGUUAUGACUUUGUC